rnacentral:rRNA from 1 species
CAAUAGCGUAUAUUAAAGUUGUUGCAGUUAAAAAGCUCGUAGUUGGAUUUCGGGGCAGCCUGGCUGGUCCGCCGCAAGGCGAGUACUGGUCAGCCGCCCUUCCUCUCGAAAGCCCCGACUGCUCUUUAUUGCAGUGGUCGGGUAGUUCGGGACGUUUACUUUGAAAAAAUUAGAGUGUUCAAGGCAGGCCUACGCCUGAAUACAUUAGCAUGGAAUAAUGGAAGAGGACCUCGGUCCUAUUUUGUUGGUUUCCAGGACCGAAGUAAUGAUUAAGAGGGACAGUUGGGGGCAUUCGUAUUUAAUUGUCGGAGGUGAAAUUCUCGGAUUUAUGAAAGACGAACAACUGCGAAAGCAUUUGCCGAGGAUGUUUUCAUUAA